rnacentral:rRNA from 1 species
UACGGAGGGUGCAUGCGUUAAUCGGAAUUACUGGGCGUAAAGCGCACGCAGGCGGUCUGUUAAGUCAGAUGUGAAAUCCCCGGGCUUAACCUGGGAACUGCAUUUGAAACUGGCAGGCUUGAGUCUUGUAGAGGGGGGUAGAAUUCCAGGUGUAGCGGUGAAAUGCGUAGAGAUCUGGAGGAAUACCGGUGGCGAAGGCGGCCCCCUGGACAAAGACUGACGCUCAGGUGCGAAAGCGUGGGGAGCAAACAGG